UACGUAGGGUGCGAGCGUUAAUCGGAAUUACUGGGCGUAAAGCGUGCGCAGGCGGUUUUGUAAGCCAGAUGUGAAAUCCCCGGGCUCAACCUGGGAAUGGCAUUUGGGACUGCAAGGCUUGAGUGCGGCAGAGGAGACUGGAAUUCCUGGUGUAGCAGUGAAAUGCGUAGAUAUCUGGAGGAACACCGGUGGCGAAGGCGGCAUCCUGGACCGGUAUUGACGCUGAGGCGCGAAAGCCAGGGGAGCAAACGGG
rnacentral:rRNA from 1 species